rnacentral:rRNA from 1 species
CCUANGGGGGGCAGCAGCAGGGAAUCUUGCGCAAUGGGCGAAAGCCUGACGCAGCGACGCCGCGUGGGGGAUGAAGGUCUUCGGAUUGUAAACCCCUUUUCUCGGGGAAGAAUAAUGACGGUACUCGAGGAAUAAGUCACGGCUAACUACGUGCCAGCAGCCGCGGUAAUACGUAGGUGGCUAACGUUAUCCGGAUUUACUGGGCGUAAAGAGGGCGCGGGCGGCACUUCAAGUCGGGUGUGAAAUAUCCUGACCCAAUCAGGAUACGCCAUUCGAUACUGAAGAGCUUGAGGGCAGUAGAGGGAGAUGGAAUUCCCGGUGUAGCGGUGAUAUGCGUAGAUAUCGGGAGGAACACCAGUGGCGAAGGCGGUCUCCUAGGCUGUUCCUGACGCUGAGGCCCGAAAGCGUGGGUAGCAAACCGGAUUAGAUACCCCUNUANUC